rnacentral:rRNA from 1 species
CUACGGGGUGCUCCAGUGAGGAAUCUUGCGCAAUGGGGGAAACUCUGACGCAGCCACGCCGCGUGGGUGAAGAAGGCCUUCGGGUCGUAAAGCCCUGUCAGGUGGGAAGAACCGCAUUGAACUUAAUAAAUUCUUUGCCUGACGGUACCACCAAAGGAAGCACCGGCUAACUCCGUGCCAGCAGCCGCGGUAAUACGGAGGGUGCAAGCGUUGUUCGGAAUUACUGGGCGUAAAGAGUGUGUAGGCGGCUAAGUAAGUCAUAUGUGAAAGCCCUCGGCUCAACCGAGGAGGUGCAUCUGAUAAUGCUUAGCUUGAGUACUGGAGAGGGGUGUGGAAUUCCCGGUGUAGAGGUGAAAUUCGUAGAUAUCGGGAGGAACACCAGUGGCGAAGGCGACACCCUGGACGGAGACUGACGCUGAGACACGAAAGCGUGGGUAGCAAACAGGAUUAGAUACCCGGGUAGUC